rnacentral:rRNA from 1 species
GAUGAACGCUGGCGGCGUGCCUAAUACAUGCAAGUCGAGCGAACGGACGAGAAGCUUGCUUCUCUGAUGUUAGCGGCGGACGGGUGAGUAACACGUGGAUAACCUACCUAUAAGACUGGGAUAACUUCGGGAAACCGGAGCUAGUACCGGAUAAUAUUUUGAACCGCAUGGUUCAAAGGUAAAAGACGGUCUUGCUGUCACUUAUAGAUGGAUCCGCGCUGCAUUAGCUAGUUGGUAAGGUAACGGCUUACCAAGGCAACGAUGCAUAGCCGACCUGAGAGGGUGAUCGGCCACACUGGAACUGAGCAACGGUCCAGACUACUACGGGAGGCAGCAGUAGGGAAUCUGACGCAAUGGGCGAAAGCAUGACGGAGCAACGAAGCGUGAGUGAUGAAGGUCUUCGGAUCGUAAAACUCUGUUAUUAGGGAAGAAAAAAUGUGUAAGUAACUAUGCAAGUCUUGACGGUACCUAAUCAGAAAGCCACGGCUAACUACGUG